ACGCUGGCGGCAUGCCUUACACAUGCAAGUCGAACGCGAAAGUGGGGGCAACCCUGCGAGUAGAGUGGCGAACGGGUGAGUAACACAUCGGAACGUACCCAGGAGUGGGGGACAACCUCGAGAAAUCGAGGCUAAUACCGCAUACGUCCUGAGGGAGAAAGCGGGGGAUUCGCAAGGACCUCGCGCUCAUGGAGCGGCCGAUGUCGGAUUAGCUAGUUGGCGGGGUAAGAGCCCACCAAGGCUACGAUCCGUAGCUGGUUUGAGAGAACGACCAGCCACACUGGGACUGAGACACGGCCCAGACUCCUACGGGAGGCAGCAGUGGGGAAUUUUGGACAAUGGGGGCAACCCUGAUCCAGCCAUGCCGCGUGAGUGAAGAAGGCCUUCGGGUUGUAAAGCUCUUUCGGCCGGAACGAAAUCGGCAACGUGAAUAACGUUGCUGGAUGACGGUACUGGAAGAAGAAGCACCGGCUAACUACGUGCCAGCAGCCGCGGUAAUACGUAGGGUGCGUGCGUUAAUCGGAAUUACUGGGCGUAAAGCGUGCGCAGGCGGUUCUGCAAGUCAGAUGUGAAAUCCCCGGGCUUAACCUGGGAACUGCGUUUGAAACUACGGAGCUAGAGUGCGGCAGAGGGGGGUGGAAUUCCACGUGUAGCAGUGAAAUGCGUAGAUAUGUGGAGGAACACCGAUGGCGAAGGCAGCCCCCUGGGCCGACACUGACGCUCAGGCGCGAAAGCGUGGGGA
rnacentral:rRNA from 1 species